GAUGAACGCUAGCGGCAGGCUUAACACAUGCAAGUCGAGGGGUAUUGGUUUUCGGACCAAGAGACCGGCGCACGGGUGCGUAACGCGUAUGCAAUCUACCUUUUGCAGAGGGAUAGCCCAGAGAAAUUUGGAUUAAUACCUCAUAGUAUAGUACUUUGGCAUCAAGGAACUAUUAAAGUCACAACGGCAAAGAUGAGCAUGCGUCCCAUUAGCUAGUUGGUAAGGUAACGGCUUACCAAGGCUACGAUGGGUAGGGGUCCGUGAGAGGGAGAUCCCCCACACUGGUACUGAGACACGGACCAGACUCCUACGGGAGGCGAGCAGUGAGGAAUAUUGG
rnacentral:rRNA from 1 species